GCAAGCUCAAAUGAUGUCCCUUUUAAUUUCCUCCGAUAUAAAAUGCUUGAAGCUUACCAGAGACAGUUCAGAUCAUGGGAGAGCCUGCGUUUCUCGUGGCCAGCACAGAUUUUCACGGGGGACGUACACAGAAUCACCACCCAGACAGCUGAGCUGAUGGGAACCUGAGAUGGAAACUUCAAGCUAGAAAAUCUGCUUCCUCAUUACUAGAGAGGUGAUCAGAAAUUCCUAGAAAUGCCAGCGAUGUACACCAGGCUGUACUGAAAGCCGCACUUGUGGGCCUCGGAGCUUUCUCCUUUCCCUGCCUUUUCUCUCCACGUCCGCUGUUCUCUCAUCUCCCCUUCUCCAGCCCUCUCACCUCUUCUUCCUCUCUUCCCUCUCGGUCUCUCCUUCCUCCUUGAUGGAGGAAAAAUACAAAUAAUACUACUAUAAAUAGAAGAUACGCUGUACCAUAUGUUUAACAUAUAUCAGAAUUAUAUAUAUUCACACUAUGUAUAUACAUACAUGUGUGUAUGUGUUUAUAUGUACACACCACACACACACACACACACACACACACACACACACACACACACCAAAGUUUCCCACUUUGGUGAGUGAAUUUCAUUUUCUUUUUCACAGUCAGAGGUUUAACCCAGGGCCAUUCCCUGUCUCUCUUCAAAGUCCUUCCGUUUGCUUUUCACCUAUUUAUAAGACAUCCACUCCCCACCUUCUGUUUUUUUUUUUUGUUUGUUUGUUUGUUUCUUUUGUUUUGCUUUGUUUUUUCUUUCCUGGAGUGAGUCCUGACCUGUCUCUCUCUGGCAUUGCACCUCUGGUAUUCCUGCUUAUGAUGCUGCAAACAUCUAGGAGAGCAUUUGCCAGGGAAGGCGGCGGCCUGGAGCCGGGACCCGAGUUCUGAGGAGCAGGCUCCCCUGCACUCUUCCCAGCUCCAGCCUUGGACCCAAAGCCUUAUUUUUCAAUGAGGGUUAACGUUUCCCCAGCAUCCCCCAGCCAGGUCUCCUCCUCCGGAGGGCCUCUGCUCUCAGUCACAGCCUCGCUUUCCUGAGGCAGCCGAGUUGCCAGCUCAGGGCGUAGCCUGGAGGUCCUGCUCAGGCUGUGCUUUGUCUCCUUUGUCACAAAUGAACCAGCACCUUCUCUGAAGGGACAGGCCCCGGCAGACAGAGGCUUGAUUUCUUUUGUGUGCACACGUGUGUUGUGCCUAAGAAACCAUGAUCUAGCCUUGGAUGGGGUCGUUUUCUUCUUUCUUUCACUACAGUGCUACAAAUUUAAUUAAUUGGUCACUGCCCUUUGGUCACUGCCCCUUUAAUUAAAAAGGCCUUCUCUCCAGAGGUUUCCUUUUGAAAUUUCCAGGAGAUUAGGAUUAUCUGUGGCAUGUCAGCAUUUUUUUUUAUAUUCAUAUACUAUAUGGUUCCUAUAAUAACAUAAAAAUGAAAUACUGAGAUAUGAGAAGCUAAUCAUAGCCUACAUUUCUCUCCUAAUAAUCCCAGAUUACAUUAAUCAUAAAUGUCAGCCACGUCUCUAGAUGACUUCUUGACUUUUGACAAAAAAGCCUUCAUUUUGGCCCUUUAAAUUCCAAAGUCAAGGAGAAUGUAACAUUCAGAAUAAUUAUUAGCAUUAUUUUACGUUGACAUUUCACCCCUGCCUCUAGUUUAACAUUCUACCCAGGCAGCGAAGAUGAAUGUCAUCUUCCGAUUCACUGGAGGGGAUUGCCCCAAUUAAACCUGACUUAAAGGCUAUUGGAAAUGCUGUAUUAAUUUGCCGUUCUUCUUUAAAAUAGAAAAUAUCUCAUGAAGAAGAAGAAUUUUCAUUAAAUCCAUUAAGGAUUUACCGUGACAUGAACAAGCAGUUUUUGAAUUGACUUUUUUCCUCCUCCGGCUAGCAUAAUAAUCGCUGUGUACUCAGCCAGACCAGGGUCUCCCUGCUGGCACACAGCCCAUCAGGACUAGUCUCCUGCUUGUCCUUGCAGCUCAAAGGUCAUCCAUAUUGUUUUGUCCCUUCUAAAAUGAUUAGAGGUGUCUUUCAGAAAUCCUGGCCUUCCCAGGGAGCAGAGCCACCUAAGGGUUCAACUCCUGGAUCACAUCUUCUUGUCUUGCAACUACCCAAACACACACACACACACACACACACACACACACACACACACACACACACACCACACUCCUCCGACUGGGAGGAGUGGAGGUAAAGGAAACUGUGGUUGGGAUGUAAUGUAUGUAAAGAAUAAAAAUAAUAUUUUUUUAAGUGAGGUGAUUUAUGGAGGAAUGCUCUGUUUAAAAAAAAACAAAAUCCUCUAGUCUCACAGUUGUUAUUAAGAUGGAGGGAUGAGCAGACUUCUAAAACAUAUGUACAGCUAACACAGACUUUAUCAGACUUAUUGAUGUGUCUCCAGUGCCUGAGGAUGGAGUCAGGUGGAUACCCAUAAUGCACAGCGACCCAGACUGUAAGCGGGGAAUGAAACAGUUGAGGUUUGAUCUCAGCUUUGUGGUCCACUCUCUCUCUUAGGCAACUCUCUCUUGAGAAACCAGCUCUUCCUCCUUUUAAUAUCCUGCAAUAAACUGAAAAGGAACAGUAUUGCUUGUGCUACCUGGCUGGUUAUGUGUCCUUUUAAGCCUCAGUUUCUUCACCUAUGAAGUGGGUCCAAUACCAUCGGAUUGAUAUAAAUAUUAAAUGAAAUAGUAAGUAUUGUGGGGUCUGGAUCUAGGCCUGACCCAGGUUGUUUCUUCCCAACUACUCCGAAAUGGAACAGAGCAAACCCAUUGACCUCCUCCUUGUCUUCUGGCAUUUGCUCCAAGUUGCAAGGAAAGCUGUGACCACCUAGCUCCCAGUGAAUUUGGAAUCCAUCCAUCCCCAUGCAGUCCUGGCUGGCUUGUGAGUCAACCUUUGCAAGUCAACCUUGAUAGCCCUUUCUUGCUAUCACCUCCCUCUCGAUGCUUCGUGAUGUCUUUACCAAGACAAACUUAAUAUUGCUUUGCAUUGAGGCAUGUUCAAACACCUCACCAUCGUCAUAGCAAGGAACACUUCUUUCCUAUUGCUACAUUCUCAGAUAAACAAACAAAAUGUUGUGAUAAUUCAGACAUACAAAGAAACAAUCAGAGAAUAAGAUGACAGUUGCCAUAAUCACAGCUACUGUCUGUGUUCCCCUAAAUUCAUGUGUUAUAACCUUGAUCCCCAAAAUCACCUAUUAAGGGGGCCUUUGGGUGUGAUUUAGGAUUAGAUGUGGUUUAUGGUUUUUCCUGGAGGGAUUCAAACAAAUACCUAUGUAUUGCUGAUAGGCACUGAUGAUGGACUAGAGAAACAAUUCCAACCAAGUCCAGCUUAGCUGGCAGCUCCACUGGAGAGUCUCCACUCUGAGGUUGGAUUGUGUCAUCCUCCCUCCCUGAAGCCUGCAGUACCUCAGGUUAUGACCUUAUUUGGGAAAAGGACACUGCAGCUGUAAUUAGCUAAGCCCUGAUAGCACACAGCAGUAGGGUAAGUCCCUCUGACUUGUGUCCUUACAAUGAAUGCUAUGCGAAGAGAGGAAUUUCCAGAGGGAAGACAGUGUAAAGAUGCAGCUUGGAGAUACUGUGUGACUUUUCCUGGAGGAACUGAAGAAACAUCUGCCCCCAGGUAGAGAGAGCACCAACAGACCAAAGGAUUCCAUCCAAGUCAUUGGUGAGCUAAUGUGUUUACGGGAGUUAUCUCUGGGAAUAUGGGUGACUCACAGGCAGCUACAAUCACCAAGAAAUCCCCUGGGUGACAAAUGAGUAGGGACGCCACCAAGAAGUCCCACCCCGGUGAGCUGUUUGCCUCUUUCUUACGUAGAAGGAUUGGAAUCUCCAGGAGAGGAGGGGCCAUGUGAGGCUCUCCUAAAGGCCUCAGGACCCUCUUCUCUCCUUCCACAGGGAAUGUCAAUAGGCCUGGUCAUCUCAGGACGGUCUCAAGUGGAUCCUUACAGCCAUUCUGACUUAAGAUGUCAGUGGCUCGAUGACGUCUCCAAAAACAGCUGUCAUACAGACAGGACAGUCUCACAGGGGUGUCUCCUUCACUUCAGGUGCCUGACGUGCUUUCACAGAAUUAAUAGCUGCGCAUGUGACACGUAUCCUUUAAAACGCGUCUGACCCUACCAGUGCUGUUGAAAUGGUGUGGCUGUCUGCUACCCCCAACAUGGCACCUGCUAUUCGCCAGAGAAGAAACCAGGAGUAGGCCAACUGGCUGGAAGUGAGAAAAGUGACCCCUAACUGAGCAUAAGGCCGGUUGUUGGGGGCGGUGGACAGCGUGGCACAAGUACUAACGGGUGGCUUCUUGAGGGAUAUAUUGUGCAGGAUCACUGUGAUCAUGGUGAAAAGCUGUCUCCUCCAUCGAGGUGCAGGUCAGUUUCUUAACCACGCUUCCUGCACCGUGCAGGAAGGAGAGAUUCCAACAUCUGUACCUACAAAGCUUGGACUGCAGAGUUUCCCCUCUCAUGUAAGGACAGUGACAAGUAGGGUGAUUCCCCGUUUCCUCACUGCUGCUCUAGGUCUAGCUCAGGGGUCUUGUUGGCCCCUACCUUGUUACACCAUGAACUGGGUCGUUCCCCAAACUUACAUGCUGAAGCCCUAACUAACUCCCAAUUUCUUUGUAAAGUGACUGUACUUGGGGGAAGACGUGAAGGUGGGCACUACCCAAUAGGACCAAGGUCCUAUUAUGAUGAGGAGGACACAUCAAGGAUCCAUGUCGCAUGGGGAUCAUGUGACCAUCAAUCAUAGCGGUGCUACUUCAAAAUGGUAGCCAUCUGCAAGACAAGGAGAGGCUGGAGGAGAACCCACCUUGCUCAGCCUCCAGAUCUCUGAGUAAAUACACUUCUGCUAUUUAUGCUAUCCUGUAGCAUCUUUUCAUGCUAUGUCUGUACCAUCUUUUCAUCACGGCCCUAGCAAUGAAUAGUUGUCAUCAUCAUCACUGUAUCAUUAUCAUCAUCAUUGUUGUCUUCUUCGCCAUCCUCCUCCUCCUCCUUAUGCUGUGCUGGGGAAUGACUCCACCACUUCAAGCAGGCACGACAAGCACCACUAAGCCGCACCUCCCAGCCAUCAGCUCCUUUCAAUGCCACAUGAGUUCUAUGCCCAAGACUUCACCCUCUCUUCUUUCACUCUAGGCAAAUCCCAGUGAUCUCUCCAGUUUAUGGGCUGUUACCAUCCAAUUCCACCAGCAACAGUCCUAGAAGGUCCAUGAGCAGUACUCAUCCUCUGCUGACCUGGGGGAUAGUUAUGUCAAAGCACUGUGGCGUCUGCUUGAAAACUCCUGAUUCAGGAAAUGCUGAGAAGAUUCCUUCCAAGUCAAGCUGCAAGGUGCUGCUAGGAGCAUUGCCUUUGACUAUUUUCUUCUUUCUUGAGACCCCCUCCCCAUGCCGUGUAUUCUAAGAGACUGAUUUUCAUCUCUGUUUAUGCCUAACAUUAAGCAGACAUUUCCACUCAUUUUUGUUCUAGUAGAUUCUUCUGCCAGCAUCCGAAGGAUUUUCCUCCUUAGAAGACAAUCCUGGAACCCUAUAGAAUGCAGUGUGUAGUGCAGGAGGAAAGUGAUGGAAAUGUGACUGAUCCACUGGGGUACCAAUCUUAGGUGUUUGGCUUAGAAAUCAAUCGAUUUGAAGGUGAAUUCUUGUAUCCAGGCCCGCUUAGUAGUGACUGAGGAAGUUUCCUUUAUUCACACACCAAUUGCUAUGACCUGACUUUGACCUCACUCUCCACUAGACACUCUGAAAUCUAUGUCAGCGGUUUUGAUGUAAUUUUUCCCCCUUUACUGGAUACACAGAAACUGUGCAUUUUUUUUUGUCAGGUACAGUGUGACAACCUGAUAUACAUAUGCAUCACACAAUGAUCAAGUCAG